rnacentral:rRNA from 1 species
AUUGAACGCUGGCGGCAGGCCUAACACAUGCAAGUCGGGCGGAUGAAGGGAGCUUGCUCCUGGAUUCAGCGGCGGACGGGUGAGUAAUGCCUAGGAAUCUGCCUGGUAGUGGGGGCUAACGUCCGGAAACGGGCGCUAAUACCGCAUCCGUCCUGAGGGAGAAAGUGGGGGAUCUUCGGACCUCACGCUAUCAGAUGAGCCUAGGUCGGAUUAGCUAGUUGGUGGGGUAAAGGCCUACCAAGGCGACGAUCCGUAACUGGUCUGAGAGGAUGAUCAGUCACACUGGAACUGAGACACGGUCCAGACUCCUACGGGAGGCAGCAGUGGGGAAUAUUGGACAAUGGGCGAAAGCCUGAUCCAGCCAUGCCGCGUGUGUGAAGAAGGUCUUCGGAUUGUAAAGCACUUUAAGUUGGGAGGAAGGGCAGUAAGUUAAUACCUUGCUGUUUUGACGUUACCAACAGAAUAAGCACCGGCUAACUUCGUG